GCUGGCGGCGUGGAUAAGGCAUGCAAGUCGAGCGAGAAAGUCCCUUCGGGGAGCGAGUACAGCGGCAAACGGGUGAGUACCACGUGGGUAACUUGCCUUCGGGUGGGGGACAACCUCGGGAAACCGAGGCUAAUACCGCAUAACGUUAUGCUUUCGCAUGUUAGCAUAACCAAAGGGGGGGAUCUUCGGACCUCCCGCCUGAAGAGAGGCCCGCGCCUGAUUAGCUUGUUGGUAGGGUAACGGCCUACCAAGGCGAUGAUCAGUAGCCGGUCUGAGAGGAUGGCUGGCCACACUGGGAUUGAGAUACGGCCCAGACUCCUACGGGAGGCAGCAGUCUAGAAGCUUCGGCAAUGGGCGAAAGCCUGACCGAGCGACGCCGCGUGCAGGACGACGGUCUUCGGAUUGUAAACUGCUUUCGACAGGGAUGAACGGUAGGGACGUUAAUACCUUCUCUAUUUGACAGUACCUGGAGAAGAAGCCCCGGCUAACUCCGUGCCAGCAGCCGCGGUAAUACGGAGGGGGCAAGCGUUGUUCGGAUUUAUUGGGCGUAAAGCGCGUGUAGGCGGUAGAGUAAGUCGGAUGUUAAAGACCCACGGCUCACCCGGGGGAAUGCGUCCGAUACUGCUUUACUUGAGUGCGGGAGAGGAAAGUGGAAUUCCUGGUGUAGCGGUGAAAUGCGUAGAUAUCAGGAGGAACACCGGUGGCGAAGGCGGCUUUCUGGCCCGCAACUGACGCUGAGACGCGAAAGCGUGGGGAGCGAACGGGAUUAGAUACCCCGGUAGUCCACGCCGUAAACG
rnacentral:rRNA from 1 species